AGGACGAGUCGAGCCCAGGAGGUGUAAAGCUUUUGGCCUUCAUUUCUUUCUCAUCAGGCUGCAAGAAACACCUGAACAUGUGGAAUCCCAAUGCCGGUAAGUGUUUGGGGGUCUCUUCUCCCACCCCAACCCCUUUUCAGAUGGGCCACACAACAGGAAGUUUGUGUAGGUUUUUCCUCCCCCUCUCCCCUCUUGCAAAAGCAAAGUCCUUCGACCAUAGCUGACCCAGUGCUCUCGUCUUUGCUUAGAGCUCACUGUCUCCCUGUCUCACCAGCCCUGCCAGGGACCUUACCUUUUCUCUCUCCUAGGCAGGUUUGUCUCCCCUACCUUCCGUUCUCCUUCCUCGCCUUUCUAUUUCCCUUUCAGGACGCGUUGAGUGAGAAGCGUAAUCCUGUUUUUGUUGUUGUUAUUGUUUGUUGUCAGAGGCUCUGGGCAGUUCUAACCUUAUUUUAUUCUUUGCUUCCUCCACUAGGGCCAAAUCCACAUCCCCCUUACAUCAGAGGCCCUGGAGGUCCCCAUCCUCCCCCUCCACCACAUGUCAAUCCUGCCUUUCCUCCAGGCCCCCCUCCCUCCGGACCUCCCCCCGGGAAUCCAGCUUUCCCCCCACCUGGGCCCCCUCCUCCUGGGCCACAACCAGGGUAUCCAGGAUGCCAACCCUCAGGUCCCUACCCCCCUCCAUUCCCACCACCUGCCCCUGGCAUGCCUCCUUUCAAUCCCUUGGCUCCCGGAAUGGUGAUGGACAAGAAGAUGCGGAAGAAAAUGAAGAAAGCUCAUAAAAAGGCGCACAAACACCACAGGCAUGGCAAGCAUUCCUCCUCCUCCUCCUCCAGCAGUGACUCUGAUUGAACCCAGGGCCUGGACCCUUCCCUCAAGUCUCUCCAGUUCUGCUCUCCCAUCAAGCUUCAGAUGCCAUUUUCUUGUACGGGGCGAAAUUAGCCCACGUGUCCGCCUGCAGCCCC